UGGCUCAGUGGUAGAGUGCUUGCCUUGCAUGCAUGAGGCCCUGAGUUCUAUUCCUCAG
rnacentral:tRNA from 1 species